AGCGAGCCAGUGGAGAGGGCCUACCGCUCCCGCCUCCUUCCGACCCAAUAAAUAUCCACCGCAUGUAAGCGUCUCGCUCGCCGCGUCGGUCCUCCAAACCCUAGCUCGCUCGCGCGGUCCACGAGCAGCAGCAGAGCCAAAGCCCCACCUGGACGGAGACCCCUCGACACGUAUCCCGAUCUGGCGGGUUAAUUACCAGCCAGCGAGCCUCCAUCUCGCUCUCUCGGAUUCCGUCCACGACGAAUCCGUGCCCUAAACCUAAUCCACCUCCCGAGAUCUCAUCUCAUCUCUAACCUCCGCUGUUCCAUUCUUUCUCGGUUAAAAGAAAGCAGAAAUAGAAGGUUGGAGGAGGGAAAAAGAAAGAAAGAAAGAAAGAAAGACGGAAAUUGGAGGUAAGAUUACCGGAUGGAGUCUACAGAAGAGACCGCCACCGUCUCCGAGAAGCCUUCCAAGACUGAAAAGGCGGCUACUUCACCUGCUGCCGCGGUGGCUCCUCCGUCGCCGCCUCAACAAUCCGCUGCGCCAGCGCAACAGCUACCGCCGCCGACAACCCAUGCGUACACCGAAUGGGCGGCAUCUCUGCAGGCUUUCUAUGGAAGUGGAGCUGCGGCCGCCGCGGCGGCGGCGGCGGCGGCGGCUGCGGCGGGAGCUGCUGCUACUACGCCUCAGGCCUUCUUCCCACCCUCUUCCCCUUCUCCCCAUCCUUUCGUCUGGGGAACUCAGCAUCUGAUGUCGCCUUAUGGCACCCCGAUCACAUACUCCCCGAUGUAUCCUCAUGGAGCGCUGUAUGCUCACCCUUCCGUGGCGGUGGGCGUGGGUUACCCGACUACUGAGCCAUCAGAUGGGAAGGACAAGGGCUCGGCAGCUAGCAGGUGGAGUUCCGGGAAUGCUGGGGGUUCCCCAGGGAAGUCAGGGGAUGGCGGUAAAGUUACUUCAGGUUCUGCAGAUAGUGCAUCCCAGAGUGGUGACAGUGGAAGUGAGGGCUCGUCGGAUACAAGAGAUGAUAACACUGAAUCAAGAGACUUAUCAGCAUCAAAAAAGAGAAGUUAUGGCAGUAUGAUAUCAGAAGUAGAAACUUCACAGCCCAUAAUUGCUGCCCAAUAUUGUGGCACUACUGUUGAACCAUCUUACUCUAGUAGGGGAAGAUCUGCAACAAAGCUGCCAGUUUCAGCACCAGGGAGGACGACGCUAACUGGCCUUCCAACUAACUUGAAUAUAGGGAUGGAUCUAUGGAAUACUUCCCAUGCUGGAGCUGUACCUGUUAGAGCUAGACCUAUGGGAGCAGGUGUUGCAAUGGCAACAGGGAGACGGAAGGGGGUCACAGCUGAACAGCAGUGGAUACAGGAUGAUAGGGAAUUGAAGAGGGAGAGAAGAAAACAGUCAAAUAGGGAGUCAGCAAGGAGGUCGAGGCUACGAAAGCAGCCAGAGUUGCUGGGACCUAAUUGUCUUGCUCUCUUCUCUUUCACCAGCAAGAAUGUGAGGAGCUGGCAAGGAAGGUGGCUGAACUGAAAAAUGAAAAUAGUGCAUUAAGUGUAGAGCUUGAAAAUCUCCAGAAACUCUGCAGGGAUCUGAAGGCAGAAAAUGAAUCAUUAGAGGAAGGCUUGACUCGCUUCUAUGGGGCUGGUGUAGCUUCUGCUUUAGGCAUCAAAGGUGAGUCAUCAGCAAUGCCAUCAGUUGGUGGAGAUGACAGUGGCCAUGUUCAUCGAAGUCCAGUUGAUUCCAAUCAAAACACUGGAAAGUUCUGUACCGGCACUGGUAAUCCUGAAUCCACAUCGAGAUGAAUUUAAACCUUUUAUUCCUUAACCACCAUCUUAGGAGCCUUGACACUUUCUGCGCAUGGAGAGGGUAUGUAAAGCUGCCGACAUGCAUAGGUAAAAGAUACUCGAGCUUUUCAGUCUUUUCAGAGUUUACGGGUCGUCGAAGAUUACAGAGGCAUUUUAUGGAUUGAUAUAACAAUUUUUUAUAGCUCUAUAUUAGAGUUUUUUUUCCUCUUAACUAGUUCGCUAACUAUAAUUACUAAAAAAAGUUAGCUAAUUCUGAUGAAAGAGAGAAUUCCUCCCGUGUGUAAACUUCUUUGGAGGGAAACUUUUCUGCUUGUUUCGUUGUUCUCUUUUGGUGUGAAGGAAAUCUUAUAUGAAAACUUGUCUAUAGUUAAAAGUUUGAACCGGCAUUGGUCCCAGGUCUCUGGUACAAACACCUAAGAGACAGUGCCAACGGACAAGCCGGCACCUUGAUAACUGUUUGAAAAUGUGUAGUUUUUCUGAUAAUCUUGAGAUUCAUGUAUUUAGAGGAUUGUGAUCAAACUUAAAUUGCUUGUAUUUGAAUUCCUCACCUAUCUCAGCAAGA